rnacentral:rRNA from 1 species
CCCUUAGACACUCUAGGCGGCACGCGCGCUACAAUGGGUGGAAGAACGUGUUACUGCCUCCGAAAGGAGGGGUGAAUCACGAAUUCUUGCCCGUGAAUGGGAUAGUUUGUUGCAAUUUUCGGACUUGAACUAGGAAUCCCUUGUAAACAUGCUCAAGAAUAGCGUGUUGAAUACGUCCCUGCCGUUUGCACACACCGCCCGUCGUUUCUUCCGACUGAUACUCAUUGUGAGUUGCAAGGACCCUUUAUUGGGAAAUUGCUGCAAAUGCUUUGUAUUGGAGGAAGAAAAAGUCGUAACA